UACGAAGGGGGCGAGCGUUGUUCGGAGUUACUGGGCGUAAAGGGCGCGUAGGCGGCGCUCCAAGUUAGGCGUGAAAGCCCCGGGCUCAACCUGGGAAUUGCGCUUAAGACUGGAGUGCUCGAGUGCGGAAGAGGCGAGUGGAACUCCCAGUGUAGAGGUGAAAUUCGUAGAUAUUGGGAAGAACACCAGUGGCGAAGGCGGCUCACUGGUCCGCAACUGACGCUGAGGCGCGAAAGCGUGGGGAGCAAACAGG
rnacentral:rRNA from 1 species